rnacentral:lncRNA from 1 species
GGAAACUGAGAGCAGUCAAAAGCCUCAAUCUCACUUAUUCCACUGACACCAUCAAGAAGAUUAUUAUAGAAUGUAUCUGCAUCUUGACGUAUUGAGGUUACCACGCUCAUCCCCGUCACAACCACCUCCCGAUUCUUUUUCAGAGGUUUCUUCUUCAAUAUAAUUUCCCUCCCGAUUCUUUUUCAGAGGUUUCUUCUUCAAUAUAAUUUCCUUUUCAGGUUGCACAGCCACGGCCACACCCCCUAGACGCACAAUAGAAGUAGUUACUUAAUAAAUGUUAUAAAGAUGCACUUAUACAAAAAUGGGUGAGGCUAAGGAAGCCCAAUAUAUUGAUUACGCAUGAAAAUGAAUAUAUUUAAUAAAUAUUUUCUUCAUGCAUAAUCAAU